rnacentral:rRNA from 1 species
GAGCGGCGCAAGGGUGAGUAAUACAUGGCUGACGCACCCCAGGCAUCGGAACAACCACGGGAAACUGUGGCUAAUACCGAAUGGCCUCCUUGGACUUCAUGGUCCUUGGGGUAAAGGUCGGGACCCCUUCGGGGGCCGUCCGGCCUGGGAGCGGGUCAUGCACUAUCAGCUUGUUGGUGAGGUAACGGCUCACCAAGGCUACGACGGUUAGGCGGUCUGAGAGGAUGGCCGCCCACAUCGGGACUGAGACACUGCCCGGACUCCUACGGGAGGCUGCAGUCGAGAAUCAUCCGCAAUGGGCGAAAGCCUGACGGUGCGACGCCGCGUGAGGGACGAAGGCCUUAGGGUCGUAAACCUCUUUCGCCUGUUAUGAACAUUCGGCAAUGAAUAAGUGUCGAACUGACAAAGGCAGGUAAAGAAGCACCGGCUAACUCCGUGCCAGCAGCCGCGGUAAGACGGAGGGUGCAAGCGUUACUCGGAAUUACUGGGCGUAAAGGGUCCGUAGGCGGCGCGACAAGUUGGAUGUGAAAUCCCUCGGCUCAACCGAGGAACUGCGUCCAAAACUGUCGUGCUGGAGGAUGGUAGGGGACAGUGGAACUCACGGUGGAGCGGUGAAAUGCGUAGAGAUUGUGAGGAACGCCGGUGGCGAAAGCGACUGUCUGGACCAUUCCUGACGCUGAGGGACGAAAGCUAGGGUAGCGAACGGGAUUAGAUACCCCGGUAGUCCUAGCCGUAAACGAUGGGCACUAGCUUGUGGGAACUUUGUUCUCACUUGCGUAGCUAACGCGUUAAGUGCCCCGCCUGGGGAGUAUGCGGGCAACCGUAAAACUCAAAGGAAUUGACGGGGGCUCACACAAGCGGUGGAGCAUGUGGUUUAAUUCGAAGCAACGCGAAGAACCUUACCUGGGUUUGACAUGCAUGGAUUAGCUUCCAGAAACGGAAGUGACGCUCUUCGGAGUGGAACAUGCACAGGUGUUGCAUGGCUGUCGUCAGUUCGUGUCGUGAGAUGUCGGGUUAAGUCCCUAAACGAACGAAACCCUUGUCGCUAGUUGCCAGCACGUAAUGGUGGGGACUCUAGCGAGACUGCCGUGGUCAACACGGAGGAAGGUGGGGACGACGUCAAGUCAUCAUGGCCCUUAUGCCCAGGGCUACACACGUGCUACAAUGGCUGGUACAAAGGGCGCCGAAGUCGCGAGACGGAGGAAAUCCCCAAAGCCAGUCCCAGUUCGGAUUGAAGGCUGAAACUCGCCUUCAUGAAGCCGGAAUCGCUAGUAAUCGCAGGUCAGCAACACUGCGGUGAAUAUGUUCCUGAGCCUUGUACACACCGCCCGUCAAGCCACGAAAGCUGGGAGCGCCCGAAGCCGUCUGUCCAACCCUUGGGAGGCCAGGCGUCCACGGCGAGCUCGGUGAUCGGGACUAAGUCGUAACAAGGUAACC